rnacentral:rRNA from 1 species
CGAUGAGUGCUAGGUGUUGGAUCCUUUCCGGGAUUCAGUGCCGCAGCUAACGCAUUAAGCACUCCGCCUGGGGAGUACGACCGCAAGGUUGAAACUCAAAGGAAUUGACGGGGGCCCGCACAAGCGGUGGAGCAUGUGGUUUAAUUCGAAGCAACGCGAAGAACCUUACCAGGUCUUGACAUACUCGUGCUAUCCUUAGAGAUAAGGAGUUCCUUCGGGACACGGGAUACAGGUGGUGCAUGGUUGUCGUCAGCUCGUGUCGUGAGAUGUUGGGUUAAGUCCCGCAACGAGCGCAACCCUUAUUACUAGUUGCCAUCAUUAAGUUGGGCACUCUAGUGAGACUGCCGGUGAUAAACCGGAGGAAGGUGGGGAUGACGUCAAAUCAUCAUGCCCCUUAUGACCUGGGCUACACACGUGCUACAAUGGAUGGUACAACGAGUCGCCAACCCGCGAGGGUGCGCUAAUCUCUUAAAACCAUUCUCAGUUCGGAUUGCAGGCUGCAACUCGCCUGCAUGAAGUCGGAAUCGCUAGUAAUCGCGGAUCAGCACGCCGCGGUGAAUACGUUCCCGGGCCUUGUACACACCGCCC